rnacentral:tRNA from 1 species
GCGCCCGUAGCUUAACGGAUAAAGUACGUGUCUUCGGAACAUGUGAUAGAGGUUCGAUUCCUCUCGGGCGCA